AGAGUUUGAUCCUGGCUCAGGACGAACGCUGGCGGCGUGCCUAAUACAUGCAAGUCGAACGAGAGCGACCGGUGCUUGCACUGGUCAAUCUAGUGGCGAACGGGUGAGUAACACGUGGGUAACCUGCCCAUCAGAGGGGGAUAACAUUCGGAAACGGAUGCUAAAACCGCAUAGGUCCUUUAACCGCAUGGUUGAAGGAGGAAAAGAGGCGCAAGCUUCUGCUGAUGGAUGGACCCGCGGUGCAUUAGCUAGUUGGUGAGGUAACGGCUCACCAAGGCCGUGAUGCAUAGCCGACCUGAGAGGGUGAUCGGCCACAUUGGGACUGAGACACGGCCCAAACUCCUACGGGAGGCAGCAGUAGGGAAUCUUCCGCAAUGGACGCAAGUCUGACGGAGCAACGCCGCGUGAGUGAAGAAGGUUUUCGGAUCGUAAAACUCUGUUGUUAGAGAAGAACAAGUGCUAGAGUAACUGUUAGCGCCUUGACGGUAUCUAACCAGAAAGCCACGGCUAACUACGUGCCAGCAGCCGCGGUAAUACGUAGGUGGCAAGCGUUGUCCGGAUUUAUUGGGCGUAAAGCGAGCGCAGGCGGUUCCUUAAGUCUGAUGUGAAAGCCCCCGGCUCAACCGGGGAGGGUCAUUGGAAACUGGGGAACUUGAGUGCAGAAGAGGAAAGUGGAAUUCCAUGUGUAGCGGUGAAAUGCGCAGAGAUAUGGAGGAACACCAGUGGCGAAGGCGACUUUCUGGUCUGUAACUGACGCUGAUGUGCGAAAGCGUGGGGAUCAAACAGGAUUAGAUACCCUGGUAGUCCACGCCGUAAACGAUG
rnacentral:rRNA from 1 species